UUGGAGGGCAAGUCUGGUGCCAGCAGCCGCGGUAAUUCCAGCUCCAAUAGCGUAUAUUAAAGUUGUUGCAGUUAAAAAGCUCGUAGUUGAAUUUCGGGGUCAGUAGGUUGGUCGUGCCACCGGUACGUACUGGUCUCACUGAUUCCUCCUUCCUGAUGAGCUGUAAUGCCAUUAAUUUGGUGUUGCAGGGAAUCUGGACUGUUACUUUGAAAAAAUUAGAGUGUUUAAAGCAAGCUAACGCUUGAAUACAUUAGCAUGGAAUAAUGAAAUAGGACGUUCGAUCCUAUUUUGUUGGUUUCUAGGAUUGACGUAAUGAUUAAUAGGGAUAGUUGGGGGCAUUAGUAUUCAAUUGUCAGAGGUGAAAUUCUUGGAUUUAUUGAAGACUAACUACUGCGAAAGCAUUUGCCAAGGAUGUUUUCAUUAAUCAAGAACGAAAGUUAGGGGAUCGAAGACGAUCAGAUACCGUCGUAGUCUUAACCAUAAACUAUGCCGACUAGGGAUCGGAUGAUGUUAAUUUUUUAAUGACUCAUUCGGCGCCUUACGGGAAAC
rnacentral:rRNA from 1 species